UGCAUGGCGAGCGACACACCCACUGUAAACUGCCCGCUGGAAGUAACGCAAGGCGCGGUGGGCUUUAAUAAAAGAAGCUGUGAGUGAAUUUCUGCUCCGGGAGAAGGCUGCUUGUGUGAGGACUGCGGUGUGCUUGCCUUACAUGUACAUUUUUUCUCCACCUUUUUGACAGUCGUUCGUGUCCUCUCGUGAACAGCUGGGCUUUCUCCAGUGGUGACUCGGGUCGUGGGGACUCCCCUUGUCGGGGUGGGCAGGUGUUGGUUCUUGUGUUCGUGAGACUCUGAAGUCUUCUCUAUUUCUUAACUAUACUUCAAAGAUCUAAUUGACAAGGGUGCAUCUUCCAGUUAUUGGUGUUAUCUACACAAAAAUCUCUUCAGAAACCUUUUAAGUGGGAGCCUCCAGAUCUGCUUAACGGCAUCUGCCUGCUCUUCUGUGACAGAGAUAAGCUAAAUCUCAAACCUGGUACAAGUUAAUAUAAAGCUAAUUGUAACUUCUUUCCUUAAGAGUAUCAACUCUGCCCUAAUUUCCCCCCGAUAUGUUUUACUGUAAUUUGUGCCCCUGUGAAUUCAUGCCGUGGUUGGAGAGUGAUGAAUGCCCUUAGAGGGAACUUCUUCAGAGAGCCUGUUUGACUGUAUAAAACUUCAGGCAUUUCUGGACUGCUUAUAAGAAGAAACUGGAUAAAUAUCACUAUAUAUUUACCCUGCUGCUGUAUUUUUUCCCUUGAGCUUUGAUAUUAACCAUUCUUAGAUAGAGGAUAUUGGGCUACUUGGAUCAUUGGAAUGUCCCAAUACACCUGUCCUUGCAUUCUGUUGCUGAGUUCCAGCAUGCUCAAAGUAUGUGCCAUUGGUAUCUCUAGAACAAACUAACUCAGUUUAGCUCAAAGCACCAAAUGUGCUGCUUUAGCAAAACUGCCACCAUGUCUUCUUCACAUCUUUGUACUGAGAGGAAAUGGUUGAGUGAUGAUGAAAUCUAGUUUUCUGAGUUUUUUCUUUCAUUUGCUGCUAACAAGACUUCAGGCACUGUAAAUGAAACAUCUCAUAAUUGUUCGCAGAUCCAAAGCUCCAAAAUAUUUGGUAAACAUGAGGUAACUUCACUUGGAACUUGGUUUGGAGUGUCAUCACUUGAAAAUUGAAUGGAAAAAUAAAUCUGCUUUAGAUUAAAGUAUUAAUAUAUUGAGCAUAUGAGCAGCUUAACUCUUCAAUGUUGUUUGUAUCAGCAGGAUGCUUUUUUCAGCUUCAAAAGCCAAGGAGAUGAAGAUUUACUUUGCCUGUGUCCUUUAUACCUUUGUGAAGCAGCAUAAAUUUGUGCUUUCAGAGUUACAGGGUUCUUUUCAAGUUACUCUCUCACCUUUUACAUUCUCCUUACUAGAGCUGUAAAUGGUUGAAAUACCACAGCCAAGAAGGUCGAUCUUGAGGAAUUUACUUUUGUACUGUGGUGAAGAAGAAGCUGGUAGGAGUCAUGUGCUAAUGUGAUACAGCCUGUCUUUAAAAUAAGUACUGAAGGGAAGAAUCCUGAACACCUUUCCCUCUCCUUCAUCCCAAACUGCAGGAAUUAAGUUUCUUUCUAUUCAGUGGGGCACGUCUAAUAUAUUAGUACACUUGUAAUGUAGGGGCCAAGUUAACUGUCAUUUUUUUCUCAUUGCUUGUGAAAUAUGGGAUUGGUCACUGCUCUGAAGCAUAUAUUGUGUGCAUGAGAGCAUCAUCCUGUGGAUGUGGCCGUUCACUGUCCAGUAUUCUCUGUUUGCUUGAAGGUUUGUUGUGGGCAACUGAGCUCCUUAAAGCUUUCUUUGGGACAGGAGGUAGAUCUCUGAAGUGCUGGCAGCUCUGUCUUUUUGUCUUUCAUCACUGGAUUAAUGCCAAAUUUUGUUUCAAUUUAGUUGUUUUCCUGCCCAAAGCAUACUGCUGUAGACUAAUAAUAGUAAUUUUAUUUCAUUUAUAUGUUGUUUUAUAAUCCUUUAAAACAAAUGCAAUUUACUUCAAGAUGUUAUGCAUGAUGUAGCUGUAUCAUGCAAAUCCUAUGUUUUGAUUAUGGAAGUAGAUGACUAAUGUAUUUGUGUGCAAUGCUGGCAUGUGUUUAAAUAUCAAGUGUUCUCUGGAUAUGCAUGGUUGUUAGUUCAGUGCUUAUGGACGUAUUUAGAUGAAAAUGAUGGGAGGGUGUAUAUGUGUUUUUUGUCUGUGUGUGCAAUGACAAGUCAAGCAAAUUGUCUCAUAUAAAAGGCUAAACUGUACUCCUGGAGCAACACACUGAAAUUUUUCUGCAGUGAGUAAUAAAAGGGUAAGGAUUUCUUGAGGACUUUGCUGUUACGUUGCAAUGGCAAAGAAAACACCUGCAGCAAUGUCUUGGCAGAAGGCUGAAAUAAACUUUUGUACUUUUUCAGGUUGCCUUGUAAUGGAAGAAAAUGGAGCUGAUCACGACAUUGCUAUGGAAGGACCUAACGAUUUGUCCAUAGGCAACUGUGAUGGUCCAGGAGAGUCCAAGGCAAAUGAUCAGGUUUUCCAGAUGAGAAGUUGCUGCUCAAAGUACAUUUUACUGGUUUUCCUCUGUGAAAGCAUCUAACGUGCAUGGAUUCCGGGGAUCCAUUGUUUGGCCAGAGUGACUCUCCUGCAGCCUUGCCCAUCACAGUCCACGUCUCAGGCAGUUGUCCAUCAUCGGCCGUGCCGGCGCGGCCACCCCAGCCACGGGCUCCCUCUGCAGAGGAGUUCCAGCUGGCAGACCAAGCCAGGCAGCCUCUCUGUGAGCUGCAGCCCCCAGGAGGGCCCAGUGCACCCAUGAUGAUUGUUGCCAGCCAGUCAGAAAAUGGACAGGUGCUGCAUGUCAUUCCUUCUGCUCAGCCAGGAGUGACCCAAGUGAUUAUUCCUCAAGGUCAGCUUCUGGAUGUGGCCAGCUCACAGGAUGCUUUGGAAGAGAAGUGUGGUGAUGGGAACCUGCAGACUGUGGUGGUGGCUGCUAUAGCAGACAGUGCAAGCAGUUACAUUCUACAUCCACAGGCAUCUCUCACUGUAUCGAAAAGAACAAGCACCAGGAUAGUGGAAGAUCCUUUUCACAUCCCUCACCAGCCAUUGCCACUAAAUACGCCUGCAUGGGCGCGCUGUCUCAGGAACUGUGAGAAAAUUGGGGACUCGUACCGCGGCUAUUGCGUGAGCGAGACAGAAUUAGAGAGUGUUCUAACGCUACACAAGCAGCAAACACAAAGUGUGUGGGGGACACGCCAGUCUCCAAGCCCAGCCAAACCCGCCACACGGUUGAUGUGGAAAUCUCAGUAUGUCCCAUAUGAUGGGAUCCCCUUUGUCAAUGCAGGAAGCAGAGCCAUUGUAAUGGAGUGUCAAUAUGGGCCAAGGAGGAAAGGUUUCCAGCCCAAAAAAGCUGGUGAGCAGGAAAGCACCUCUGGCCAUCUGGACAAGUACAAAGCUACUUGUCCAGCAAGGAUCUAUAUUAAAAAGGUUCAAAAGUUUCCAGAAUACAGGGUUCCUACUGACCCUAAAAUUGACAAGAAAAUCAUAAGAAUGGAGCAGGAGAAAGCAUUCAACAUUCUGAAGAAGAACUUGAUAGAUGCUGGCGGUAUCCUCAGGUGGUAUGUACAGUUACCCACUCAGCAAGCCCACCAAUACCAUGAAAUGGAAACGUCCUGCCUCCCUCCCUCACCCUCCCACUUUCCUGCGUCUUCUCCUGAGGAGGAGGAGGAAGUUGUUAGAGAUGAGAACUGUACUCUGCCUUCUCGACUUCAUCCUCAAGUGGCAGACAAGAUCCGAGAACUGGUGUCUCAGGGAAUAGAGCAGGUCUAUGCAGUGAGGAAGCAACUAAGAAAGUAUGUGGAAAGAGAGUUAUUCACGCCUGAUGAAGUGCCAGAAAGGCAUAACCUGUCCUUCUUCCCCACUGUGAAUGACAUCAAGAACCACAUUCAUGAAGUACAGAAGUCUCUAAGGAAUGGAGAGAUGGUGUAUAAUUCAGAAAGUGUCCCAGCAACGCUGCAAUGGACCACAGACAGCGGGAAUGUCCUCACAGAAACAGUGACUGUUACGUUUGCCUCCCCACCUUCAGAUGGGAGCACAGGAGGGGAGUCAGUCGUCACCAAAGCAGAAUCCAACCAGGGUGGGGAGUCCUUGCUACCAGAAACAGCCCAGCUGUUGUCUUCACUCUCUUCACUUCAGCCCAAGAUAUUUGCACAAUUUCAGGGAUUACAGCUGCAGUCAGCAUUUACCUCCGCAAACGGAUCAGCAGCCCUGCUAGCUGUAAAUAACCAUUCCCCUCCCAGCCCUGCGAGUCUCCUGGAUUCCCUAGGGAGUGCACUAACCAGCCGUUCUCUAGCACUUAGUCAGGGACACAGUCUGCAGGCAGGUGCUGGCCUGACACAGCUCAGUGCUGCUGCCUCUGCCUUUGGGACUCCGCCUGGCUCUGAUCAAAGUCUGGCCACCACGGGCCAGUUGGUACCAGCUGGAGGCGUAGAUGACUCCAGAAGCCUGGAAGGGAUCCAUCACAUUCUCUUGGGAGAUGUACAGACUGUUCCAGUUCAGAUUGUGGACAACCAUCCAGCACUUACUGAAGAAAAUACAGAGGGUAUUACCUGUGUGAGCCAAGUUAAACAAGAGCCAAGAGAAAAAGCAUCAUCUGUGGAGCCAGAUAAAAUCAGAGACUGUCACAGUUCCUCACCGUAGUUCCUCACCUUCACCUAUGAAGCCUGGAAGGAUUUUUCAAGUUGGAGAACUCUAAAUGUCUUGGAAGGAAAGGCAGGUGCUCUCAAAGUCCUGCCAUUCUUUUUCAGUUGUAUUGUGACGUUCAGACUAAGCAUACUUUAGGGUAGUUGUGACAGAAGGCUGUUUUGAUUUGACUGAUGUGGCUCACUGCCAAUUCCAGGUCACUCAGUUGCCCUGUGGAACACACCUCUCUCUUCUGUCUCAAGCUUUGAGUAAUUUGGGUGCUAUCCAAAUAGCCCAUUUUGGUUAAUGUUUCUGCAGGUCUUGCACAGUUUAAUUCCUUUGCUUUAGAAUAUGGAUCAUGAUGCUGGGUUUGCUUUUUCUCCUCGAGACCCUCGACUUUUUUGCACUACAGAGACCAUAGAAUCAGUCGGCUCCGAGAUCUCAGAAUCCAGUGGCAAAGUUGAUCGGUAUGGCAAUGAUUUUGUGACAAAAUGAAGGUCCAGGAUGCUGAACUUAAAAGUGAUAAAGAACAUGGAUGCUUAAGAGAAUGCAGCUUUGACCUGAUCAUAAUGUUAAUGGUGUGAAGAUCAAGGAGAGGAGAAAGGUCAGAAGCUAUCCAGCUGGUCUAUCCAACAGCAGCAACUAAGGUAUGAUCUGGGGGGAGAAGGAGGGGAAAGCAAAAAUCUUGUCACAUGACAGCAGUGUAUGUGUGUGCAUUUGGGUUUUUUCCAAUGUAAGCUCUUACAUCUAAUAUCUCAUUCCAUUUCUAAUGCACAUGACAAAUGACAUGUUUAUUUUCUGGAGGGAUUUGAUGUGUUUUCUGGAGAGUCUUCAAAGGAGUGAUCAUAAAUAGUACUGCUGUAUCAUACGAACUGUUAGUGUGUGUUUGUCAUCUAGGACCCCAUCCUGUACAGAAGGGGGUUUAAAAGCCUGGAAAGCCAUCUGAGGACAAAUACUGAGUGUCCUUGUCCUAAGGAGUCUUCCCUGGACAGAAGAAUAGGAGCUGUAGGAGUUAUUCUUAUCAGUAUUCUGUUAGCCUCUGCUAGAUAGAAGAACUUUGCAAAAGGCGUGUAUGUGAUAGCCUCUUUAUGGAAGUUGCCUUUGGAUACUUAAUAGUUUUGAAUUAUAUAUGCAUACAGGAUUGUAUGUAUCUUAAAAAAAAUAAAAUGCAGACAGAACCAUAAUUGUUUGCAUGUAGUUCUUUAAUACAGCUUUAAUUAUACCUAGCUGUGGUUCAAUGAUGCAGAUAUUUUAGGGCACAUGUAAUCAGAUCUUUUAAUGUGGAUAAUUGGAAUUCAUGUUUUUACUACAACCAUCCUUAGCUCUCUGCAGCGCAGCUCAGUUGGUCAUUUGGCAUGUACUGGCUUCUCUUAAUGACAUUCUGUCUGUUUAAACAAGACCAUGCUGUUCUAAGCAAAUUAAAUUUCUCUCUCUUCAUGAUCUUUUUUCUAAUAGGGAUUGAUAAGGCUCAUCAGAGGAUGAAAAUCUAUUUGUUGUAUAGUGCUUUCAUAAGAGUGGAUUUCUGGGUCCUCACUAGGAACUUGAGAGCUACUGGAUCUGCCAUUUGGACAUUUUUCUGAUGUGCUUGGAUUGCUAUAGCAGGACAGUGUCGAUACAGCAUAAACUACCACUAAAAUACUGUUAAAAUUUUAGCUCUAUCCUUUGUUGAAAUGUUGAUAGUGGCUUCAGGAAGGAUCACAGAUUUGCUUCUGCACUUCAUAGAACAGUCUUUGUCUCUAGAUAGUAUUUAAAAUGUAAUCAGCUGUGGCAGUCAAAUGGCAGUAGGAGAGCCAGGAACAGAGGUGUAUGUUGGCAGAUCAGUAAGACAGAGAGAAGUUCAGUCCCAGUGUCCUCAUGCCAGAGUAACAUUCUCUGUGCUAGUCCUGAAUGCACCCUUCAGAAACAAUGAUUGGUCUCUGUGUGCUGACAUAGCUGUUCUUGCCCACUCAAGAAGUUCUACAAGCCUGCAAGGGACAUGGAGAGCAUGAAGAAGCUGUGUAGGAUUUGAUGAGAGGACCGGCAGGCAUGGAACAGAGGAGAUUAAAGUUUGAUGAUGUGACUUCUAUGUAACCCUCAUUCUUUGGUGGGAGGAAGAGGAUUUUUCAGUAGAGAAUAAAAAACAUGAAACAUUCCAAACUGCACCUCAAAACCACCAUGUUCAGAGCCUGAAAGGAUCACUUACCUCUGAGAGUGCUCCAGAUAACUGUCAAGAGACCAGAGCACAGAACAGAAGAGGAAGGCAAGUUUGCAACAAGCUGCUUGCAGGAGAUAGAAAGCUCUCAAAGUUAAAGCAGAAGAUUGUAUUUUCUUCUGGCUGAAAUGGCUCACUGUAGAUGUGCACUAGUUACCUUCUGAAUGCAAGCUGGUCUGGCAACUCCACGACUGCUGACAAAGCUAAAAGUUGUCACAUCCAAGGUGUUUUGUACAUGAAAGGAGAUGGAGAAAGUGGGAACCUUCUUAACCUUCUUACUUCUCCUGAGAAGAGCUGAUCUGUGGAAAUAGGGCUUUACCAGUUUUAAAUCAAUAUCUUCGCAAUAAUUUGGUGGGUGUUCAGGUUUUUCCUGUCAGGUGCUGGUGCAUGUCUAACUUUGUACGUAAUACAAGCCAUAGAAUUACCUCUUGCUGACCUGCCCAUAUUGGGGUUUUGUGUCCUAGCACUGUACUCGUACUUGCUGCUUUUUGGGAGUGGGGGAAUUGUUUUAGAUGUUCUCAUCUUUCGCUUUUCUGCCUUUCUCCUAUUGCCUCUUUCUCCUCUCCAGAGCGGUAUAGAAACAAAUUUCUCAUUUUAAAAAACUGCACUAUCCUUGGUUUCCCACAUCUGGGGAUAAAUUUCCUCUCUGCCUUACUGUGCUCAAGGUUGAUUGUGCUGGACAUCACUAAAAUGUAAGACACCAUUAUGUCUUGCUGAAGGAAGGGGAGAUACUGGGGUGAGCUCCACUGCCCCCUUCACUCCAGAAGUUCUCACAGGAAGCACCUGCCACAGGUUCAGCUUCUGCAUCUCCACGCAGGCCAGCACAAGUGCAGAGCUGUGCCGAUGAGAGCAGCGUCGUGCACUGUGUGUACCAGCACGUUAUCAGUACAAAGAACUGUCCUUCUCCCGCUUGCGUUGUUUGGAAUCCAGAUCAGUCUGUGGGUCUGGCCCACUCUGCCCCCACAAAUGACUCUUUGAGCACAGCUUGAAAGAGAGCACAGGAGAGGGUGAGGAAGUUCUUAAUCUCCAACCUGUAGUUUGUGCUUCUGUAUUGGGUGCAGGUGCCCAGGUGUGGGUGACUCUGUGCAGGACCCAGCUGGUUCCAGACAGCUCUGCAAAGGACCCACCGCGGGGCACAGCCGAGCGCAUUGGUGAAGCUGCUGGCAGUGGAAGUGUAUUUAAGAAAGGGCAAAAUGCUGCAUGGCAGAGAGGAGUGAGGAGGGCGAGAAAACCAGUCCUCUGAACACCAAGGUCAAAGAAGGAGAGGGAGGAAUUUCCUCAGGUGCUGGAGUGGGUGUUGCCCUGCAGAUCAUGGAGGAUCACAUGCCGGAGCAGGUGGAGAUUUUUCUGAAGGAACUGCAGUCCAUGGAGAGGAGCCAUGCCAGAGCAGGCUUAUGCUGAAGGACUCCAGCCUGUGGAGAGCCUGCAUGGAAGCGGGCUUAUGUGGAACAACUGCAGCCUGUGGAGAGGACCCAUGAUGGAGCAAGAGAAAAGUGUGAGAUGGAGUGAUAGAAAGGAGCUGUUACAGACUGACUGCAACUCCCCCAUUCCACUUUGCCCUGUGCUGCUUUGGACAGAGGGAGGCAGAGAAGCUGGAGGUUGAAAGUGUGAAGUUGAGUCUGAGGGAAGAGGAGAGCAUGAAGGGACGGUGCUGUUUUAAUUUGCAUUCAUUUCUCACUGAUUUAAUCUAUUUUAAUUGGCAAUAAAUUAUUUUUCCUCACAUUGAAUCAAAUACUGAAAUUUACAUCUGGACUCAGUGGAAAAUGCUUACUGAUUUCUCUUUGAUCACUGCAAGUCACUUUUUCUUUUAAUUUUUUAAGUAAGACAAUUUUUAAGGGUUUUAAGGAUUCGUUCUGUGUGUAGGAAGGAGUGUACCUUGUUUGAAUCAGAAGUUGCAUUUCUGGAUGUAUUCUGGUUAGGCCUUUCAAGUUCUGCUGGUUCACCUCUUCACUAGGGUAAAGCUCAGAUGGAGAAUUAACUCAGGAACAGGUCCAAUCCAUUACAUUUCAGCUGGAAAAGAGUACCAGCCAUAUUUUUACAGGUUUGAGCAUGGAAGAAUCAUUCUGAGGAGAGGAUGCUGCAUCAUGAAUUCUACUCUAUGGUAAUUUUGGUAGUGCUGUUCUUACAGAUGUUAAGGAUGUGGCACCUUCACAGGAACAUGGUGAAUUGUUAGUUGUCUGUCUGGAGGAUACAAAGCAAUUUGUGGUGGAUAAAGAAAACUUCUUUGGUAAUAAAUUAGAUGAGCUUCAGAAAGAAUUGCACUGUCAUUAUAACUUCAUCAAGUGGUAUCUUCCAGUGAUAUCACACACUGUUGAUUAUUGUCUUACAGUUUAUUUACUGUAUCACUUAUUCAUUAGGCUUUUCUGGCUAAGUCAAGGCCAUAGAAGUAAUAUAUAUGGCAGUUCUCUGUUCUCUUGAAGUUUUAUGAAAAGGAAAGGAAUUCCUCAUUGUGCAGCUCUCGAGGACAGCCCUGCUUGCUGAGCCACUGGCUGCUCUGGAAGAGUCCGUGGUUAUCUGUGUUCCAUAGCUACCAAAAAAUCUGCACUGAAGUACUCCAUAAAGUUGUGAACUUGGAGCAGGCAAAGUGAGUUUGACAUCUUUAAAAAAACAGACUACCCUGGGACCAAAUUUAGCACCAAAUUUCACACCUUCAGGAGCAGUGGCCUAGGGUUUAUUGGUUGCAGUUGUAAAAAGAUCAAUGUUUGCGUAGUGAAACGUAGUUUUGUUCAGCUUGUUCAACCUGUGAAAAAAAGGUGUCUCCAUUCCUUUUAUUUCAGACUUCUGAGCUCCUUUGCAAAAUGAGAGAUUAGCUAAUAACUACAGAAAUGGAAAAGUUUGACUGUGGACAGGUGGUAACAAAAGAUAAAGUCAUCCAGCAUAAUUAACAUUAGUAAGGUAAGAUCUUUAAGAGAUUAGGCACAGGCUAAUGCCUUUGGUGGUACGCUGAUGUUUAUUCUGACCUUACAAACAAAAAUAAAGAUUAUGAGCCAUUGCAGAAAAAAAUGGGAAAUAAAGCACUUUGUAAAACACCAGUCUGUGGUGGGUUUGGUUUCUGUUGAUUUUGUCAAACUUUUACUUGGUGUUCAGCUCCUUUGUGUAUCCAAUGUAGGGUCUGGUUUAUCUGAUCUCUUAUGUAGAGUAAGUUAAAAUAAGUUGAUAGUUAACGUGCAGACCAUAACACACAAGUUCUUCAUGGUAAGAUAUAUGACAUUUCCUAUAUUUUCUAACAGAAGUAGUAGAAGUGUCUGAAUAUUAUUGAUAAUUAUCAGAAGACAUUUGAAAGAAACUUCACAUUCUGUCUUCACUCUUUUAUCCGUGUUUUACUUUUGGAAUUGAUGAAUUCCCAUUUCUUUGAGUUGUUAGCAGUUGUUAGCAAUGAAGUGACUAUUUUGAAAUGAACUAUUAAGUUC